rnacentral:misc_RNA from 1 species
UUUCCGUAGGUGAACCUGCGGAAGGAUCAUUCAUAAUAAAGUGUUUUAUGGCACUUUCUAAAAAUCCAUAUCCACCUUGUGUGCAAUGUUAGAUCUCGUCAAUCUUGGCGAGAUUUUUAUACAUCAACUCAUUCCUUAACUAAUUUGUCUGAAAAAUAUUAUGAACACUUAAUUCAAAAUACAACUUUCAACAACGGAUCUCUUGGCUCUC